UUUGUAAUCUGGCUCUUUUAUAAGAGUCCGAGUUGUAAUUUUGAGAACUGUUUUCUGUGCUGGACCAUGUACAAGUCUGUUGGAAAACAGCAUCAUUGAGGGUGAUAAUCCCGUACAUGAUAUGGACUACCAGUGCAAUAUGAUACAGUCUCUAAGAGUCGAGUUGUUUGGGAAUGCAGCUCAAAGUGGGUGGUAAAUUCCAUCUAAGGCUAAAUAUAGGUGAGAGACCGAUAGCAAACAAGUACCGUGAGGGAAAGAUGAAAAGAACUUUGGAAAGAGAGUUAACAGUACGUGAAAUUGUUAAAAGGGAAACAUUUGAAGUUAGACUUGUUAUUAUUGGUUCAGCUUCUUUUUUUAAUUAGGAGUCUAUUCCAAUGGUUGACAGACCAGCAUCAAUUUUUGAGUGUUAGAUAAGGGUCUUGAGAAUGUGGCAACUUUGGUUGUGUUAUAGCUCUUGGCUUGAUAUAAUGCUUAGGAUUGAGGAACGCAGUGAGCUUUUUAUUAAGUGGAUUCUUUUUUUUUGAAUCUUCAUCACUACGGAUGUUGGUGUAAUAGCUUUAAAUGAC
rnacentral:rRNA from 1 species